ACGGAAGGCAGCAGUGGGGAAUAUUGGACAAUGGGGGAAACCCUGAUCCAGCGACGCCGCGUGAGUGAAGAAGUAUUUCGGUAUGUAAAGAUCUAUCAGCAAGGAAGAAAAUGACGGUACUUGACUAAGAAGCCCCGGCUAACUACGUGCCAGCAGCCGCGGUAAUACGUAGGGGGCAAGCGUUAUCCGGAUUUACUGGGUGUAAAGGGAGCGUAGGCGGUUUGGCAAGCCAGAAGUGAAAACCCGGGGCUCAACCUCGGGAUUGCUUUUGGAACUGUCGAACUAGAGUGUUGGAGAGGUAAGUGGAAUUCCUAGUGUAGCGGUGAAAUGCGUAGAUAUUAGGAGGAACACCAGUGGCGAAGGCGGCUUACUGGACAAUAACUGACGCUGAGGCUCGAAAGCGUGGGGAGCAAACAGGAUUAGAUACCCUGGUA
rnacentral:rRNA from 1 species